rnacentral:rRNA from 1 species
AAUGAACGUUGGCGGCGUGGAUUAGGCAUGCAAGUCGCGCGAGAAGUUUCCUUCGGGAGACGGACAGCGGCGGAAGGGAGAGGAAUAAGUAGAAAUCUGCCCUCGGGACGGGGAUAGCGGCGGGAAACUGCCGGUAAUACCCGAUAACAUCUUUGGAUCAAAUGGUGUGAUUCCGCCUGAGGAUGAGUCUACUUCCUAUUAGCUAGUUGGUGUGGUAAUGGCUCACCAAGGCAACGAUGGGUAGCGGGUGUGAGAGCACGAUCCGCCUCACUGGGACUGAGACACUGCCCAGACACCUACGGGUGGCUGCAGUCGAGAAUCUUCGGCAAUGGGGGAAACCCUGACCGAGCGACGCCGCGUGCGGGAUGAAGGCCCUCGGGUUGUAAACCGCUGUCGUAAGGGAACAAAUCUAAGAGGGUACUCCCUUUUAGUUGAGUGAUCUUAGGAGGAAGGACGGGCUAAGUUCGUGCCAGCAGCCGCGGUAAAGUCUGU